rnacentral:rRNA from 1 species
GCACUGACUGCUAUCGGAUUGAUACUAAGCCAUGCGAGUCAUUGUAGUAAUACAAGGCAGACGGCUCAGUAACGCGUAGUCAACCUAACCUAUGGACGGGAAUAACCUCGGGAAACUGAGUAUAAUGCCCGAUAGAACAUUAUGCCUGGAAUGGUUUAUGUUCCAAAUGAUUUAUCGCCGUAGGAUGGGACUGCGGCCUAUCAGUUUGUUGGUGAGGUAAUGGCCCACCAAGACUAUUACAGGUACGGGCUCUGAGAGGAGUAGCCCGGAGAUGGGUACUGAGACACGGACCCAGGCCCUAUGGGGCGCAGCAGGCGAGAAAACUUUGCAAUGUGCGAAAGCACGACAAGGUUAAUCCGAGUGGUUUCUGCUAAAGGAACCUUUUGACAGUCCUAGAAACACUGUUGAAUAAGGGGUGGGCAAGUUCUGGUGUCAGCCGCCGCGGUAAAACCAGCACCUCAAGUGGUCAGGAUGAUUAUUGGGCCUAAAGCAUCCGUAGCCGGCUCUGUAAGUUUUCGGUUAAAUCUGUACGCUCAACGUACAGGCUGCCGGGAAUACUGCAGAGCUAGGGAGUGGGAGAGGUAGGCGGUACUCGUAGGAAGGGGUAAAAUCCUUU